AUCGCUUCUUGGCCUUUUGGCUAAGAUCAAGUGUAGUAUCUGUUCUUAUCAGUUUAAUAAUGAAAUUAAAUCAUAUGGGAAACAAUGACGCAAACUGUCAAGUAUUCUUUCAAGUUUUUGUAUUCAAUUUUGAAUGUGUUGAACUAUAAUUUCAGUCUAUUGCAUUUCUUUGAAUCUGAAAUCUAUCACU
ensembl:snRNA U2 U2 spliceosomal RNA